rnacentral:rRNA from 1 species
AUGAAGAGCAUUUCUUGCUUCUGCCUGCUUCUCAUUUGCCUGGCUGCACUGCAGCUCCACGCCAAUGCCUCUCAGGAGGCCCAGCUGAGAGAGUUCAUCUCGUCCAGGAAGAACAGCGACAGCACCGACACGUUCAAAGUGCGCAACAUAGCCGACAGGUUUUCCGGCAGCCUGAACGCGGAGAGCUCUGUCUCAGACCAGAGCUCCAUGAAGGCGGCUGACAUGAUCACGGCGCUGCCCGGGCAGCCGGAGGGCGUGGACUUCGACCAGUACGGCGGGUACGUGACCGUCGACGAGGAGAACGGCCGCGCGCUCUUCUACUACCUCGUCGAAUCGCCCUCUGGUGCCUCGGACAAGCCACUCGUCCUGUGGCUCAACGGAGGGCCAGGAUGCUCGUCGCUGGGCUACGGGGCAAUGCAGGAGCUGGGCCCGUUCCGAGUAACUGAGGACAACAAAACCCUCAGCAGAAACAUGAACGCCUGGAACAACGUGGCUAACGUGAUCUUCCUGGAGUCGCCGGCCGGUGUGGGAUUCUCUUACUCCAACACGUCUACAGACUACGAUCUCAGUGGCGACGAGAGAACCGCCGAUGACGCGUACGUCUUUCUGGUGAAAUGGCUGGAGAGGUUCCCCGAGUACAAUGGUCGCGCCUUCUACAUCUCCGGGGAGAGCUUCGCCGGCCACUACGUGCCAGAGCUCGCCGCCACCAUCCUGCUCCACAACGCAUACAACAACAGAACCAUCAUAAACCUUCAGGGCAUCUUGGUUGGAAAUCCGUACCUUGAUGCCAACAGGAAUAUUAUGGGGGCGAUCAACUACUACUGGACCCAUGCGGUGAUGUCCGACGAGGUCUACGCCAAUAUCACCAAGAACUGCGACUUCGACAGCGUGGAUGGUACGUUUACAAACGCCGCAUGCAACGGCGCCGUCGACGGGUUCAGCGCUGGCAACAUCGAUGGCUACAACAUAUACGCUCCAGUUUGCAUUGACGAGCCCAAUGGAGGGUACCACCCCAGUGGCUACUUACCUGGGUAUGAUCCCUGCAGUGAUUAUCCUACUCAUGCCUACCUCAAUGAUCCAGCGGUGCAGAUGGCUUUCCACGCUAGAAUGACCAAGUGGACAGGGUGCACAAACUUGAACUGGAAAGAUGCGCCAAUGUCUAUGCUGCCAACCAUCAAAUGGUUGAUCGAAAGCAAGCUUCCGAUUUGGAUAUUCAGUGGUGAUUUUGAUACUGUGUGCUCGCUUCCGGGGACGAGGUAUUCCAUCCAGGACCUUGGCCUCUCUGUGACCACCCCAUGGCGUCCAUGGACAGCGAAGGAGGAGGUGGGAGGCUAUGUUCAGCAGUACGCGGGGGGAUUCACAUUCCUCUCCGUGAGGGGAGCUGGCCAUCUGGUUCCAUCCUUCCAGCCUGAGAGGGCAUUGGUGAUGUUGAGCUCGUUCCUGAAUGGGAUGCUCCCACCUUACGUAGAACAGCAGUGA